rnacentral:rRNA from 1 species
AUUGAACGCUGGCGGCAGGCCUAACACAUGCAAGUCGAGCGGAUGAAGGGAGCUUGCUCCUGGAUUCAGCGGCGGACGGGUGAGUAAUGCCUAGGAAUCUGCCCUGUCGUGGGGGAUAACGUCCGUAAACGGGCGCUAAUACCGCAUACGUCCUGAUGGAGAAAGUGGGGGAUCUUCGGACCUCACGCUAUCAGCUGAGCCUAGGUCGGAUUAGCUAGUUGGUGGGGUAAAGGCCUACCAAGGCGACGAUCCGUAACUGGUCUGAGAGGAUGAUCAGUCACACUGGAACUGAGACACGGUCCAGACUCCUACGGGAGGCAGCAGUGGGGAAUAUUGGGCAAUGGGCGAAAGCCUGAUCCAGCCAUGCCGCGUGUGUGAAGAAGGUCUUCGGAUUGUAAAGCACUUUAAGUUGGGAGGAAGAGAAGUAAGUGAAUACCUUGAUGUUUUGACGUUACCAACAGAAUAAGCACCGGCUAACUUCGUG